AGUGAACGCUGGCGGUGUGCCUAACACAUGCAAGUCGAACGGCAGCAUAAUAAGAUCUUGCUCUUACGGGUGGCGAGUGGCGGAUGAGUGAGGAAUGCAUCGGCAUCUUCUUUGUCUGGGGUAAUUACGUAAGGCAACUUCCACUACCAGAGCAUACAACCUACGGCUUAAAUCAGUGGUGAUUCAGACCUUUCGUGAUACAAUUAGCCGCUGUCGGAUUAGCUAGUUGGCUAGGUAAGGGCCCACCAAGGCAACGAUCCGUAGCUGAUCUGAGAGGAUGAUCAGCCACACUGGAACUGAGACACGGUCCAGACUCCUACGGGAGGCAGCAGUAGGGAAUCUUCGGCAAUGGGCGCAAGCCUGAUCCAGCCACGCCGCGUGGGUGAAGAAGGUCUUCGGAUUGUAAAGCCCUUUUGUUGGGGAAGAAAAGCAGCAGGUUAAUAUCCCGCUGUUCUGACGGUACCCAAAGAAUAAGCACCGGCUAACUUCGUG
rnacentral:rRNA from 1 species